rnacentral:tRNA from 1 species
UGGCCGGGCUAGGCCGUCCGAGCCGGGCCGGUUCGGCCGGUCCGGUUCGGCCGGUCCGGCUCCGGCUCGGCCGA